CUAAAAAUUUAAAAAAUUAGCCGGGCAUGGUGGUGCCCGCCUGUAGUCACAGCUCCUCGGGAGGCUGAGGCAGGAAAAUUGCUUGAACCCGGGAGGCGGAGGUUGGAGUGAGCCGAGAUCACGCCACUGCACUCCAGCCUGGGCAACAGAGCGAGACUCUGUCUCAAAA